GAUGAAGAACGUAGCGAAAUGCGAUAAGUAAUGCGAAUUGCAGAAUCCGUGAGUCAUCGAAUCUUUGAACGCACAUUGCGCCCUCUGGUAUUCCGGGGGGCAUGCCUGUUCGAGCGUCAUUAUAACCCCUCAAGCUCAGCUUGGUGUUGGGGCCUGCUGCACUGGCAGCCCUUAAAAUCAGUGGCGGCGCCAUCUGGCUCUAAGCGUAGUAAUUCUUCUCGCUAUGGAGUCCUGGUGGAUGCUUGCCAUCAACCCCCAAUUUUUCUAUGGUUGACCUCGGAUCAGGUAGGGAUACCCGCUGAACUUAAGCAUAUCAAUAAGCGGAGGA
rnacentral:misc_RNA from 1 species